UUAAUAAAAAAUUUUCUGUCUCUUAAAAUAAAAGCUCUAUGUUCUCUAUAAAAAAGCUUUCUCCGCCGCUGCCUAAGAUUACUUGUUUCAGUGGCUUUUUUCAGCAUCGGAAGCGAGGUUUCUUUACUUUCUU
rnacentral:sRNA from 1 species